rnacentral:lncRNA from 1 species
ACAUCAAAUAUUUUAUAAAUUUAUUGAAAACGGUUUGUACAAUAUUUAUAAAAGGUACCAGGAUUAUAAUUUACUACAUUAAGUUCAAACUAUGGUAAAAUAAGAAAAACAUGUCAUUUACUGUCAGACUGUCUAGCAACACAUUUGUUUGCUGUUAACUUGAUAGUUCACUAUCAAUAACAAAUGCCUACAUCUAUCUUUUAAAUCGUUCAUGUACAUGUAGGUAACUGCAAGUAAAAAAUAACAAAUGAUUACUACCAUUUAUACCAUUUACACAACCUCAGCCAAAGUUAGCCUUGGAUGGAUUUGGCUAUUUUAUUUUAUCCUUUUUGGUCGUAUAGCUCUUCAACUGUUUCGGUUCUUCUACAUCCUUCGCUUUCAAAUAUUUGGCAUUGAGCGUUCCUGAUACCGGUAAAUCCAGAAAAGCGCUUCGGACGCAUCAAAUUGAAACGUGCUGUUUUAUUUUUUUACAUAUUAACUAGUAUUCUAUAGUGAAAGUGAUUAUUAAGCUUUACAAUGACCGUAAAAGACUAUUCCUUCAGCAUUGAUUUUCUAACCACAACAAACAGUUAAAAAACUAUCUGCAUAGCGAAAUCGUUUGAAACAUUUUAGAUUAGUGUCAAGCUGUUUUUUUUAAAUGUUUUAUGCUUGACCUUGAAAAAGUAAGCGCACUUUGCGAUACUUGUUUAUACAAGUUUAUAUCAAGGUUACAGAUGCCACAGAGUUUUUGAUACAUAGCUGGAUCUUAACUGACCUGAAAUGAUAUAAAUAUAAGAAGGUAUGUCCGACUCUACCUUCCAUUUAUAUGUCGUAAAUAAAACUUUCACAUUAAAAUAUAAAAUAUUCUAAAUCGAUAUAGUUCCGGUUGUGAGUUUGUUUUCGUUAAAUUCCGUAAACAAACAGUUCAGGUUUCGCUGCCGAUAUCAGUACCGAUACAAUAAUAAAAAAAACACCUAACCAAAUCAUAAGAUACCAGGCUUUUAAUUGUGUACGCCGACUGCUUGUUUUGAUUAUAUACAAGCCUCAUCAAUGAAAAAAGACCAAAUCAAGUACGAAAUUGAGGACACAAAAUUUAUUAUAUUUUUUUGGUUAAGAUUAUCUAUAAUGGUGAAUAUUUGUUCUUAUGUUCUGUUGUUUCAUAACUGUCCAAAAGAGGAUUCGGAUCGCGGAAAAAUGUUUUAUCCUGCUACAAGAUGUAUGUGCCUGACCCAAGUCAGGAGCCCGAAUUGCAGUUUGUAGCUGUACUGCAUAUUUGUUUUCCAUUUAUUGUACUGUACAUAAAUCAGCGUUAGUUUUCUCUUUUGAAUAGUUCUGCAUAUUUAAUUUAGUGAACCUUUUAUAGCGUGCUAAACGGUAUUUGUUACUCAUUUUUUAAGGCAUAUAGUUUCUUUCUUAUAAGUCUAGCUGAGAGUUGUCACAAUGAAUUAUUUCUAUAUGGUAACUGGUGAAAAAAAUACAGUAUUAACAUUUAAGAAAUAUAUACAUACCAAAAACACUAAACUAAA